AAGACUAUACUUUCAGGGAUCAUUUCUAUAGUUUGUUACUAGAGAAGUUUCUCUGAACAUGUAGAGUACCAAUGGAACAGAACAGAGGCCUCGGAAGUAACGCCACACAUCUACAACCAUCUGA
ensembl:snoRNA U3 Small nucleolar RNA U3